GGAGGAGGAGCCUGUAAUGGUUAAGGUCAGUUGGAAUGCAACUGCUACUGGUCGGAAGAUGCAACUGCUACUGGUCGGAAGAUGUGCUUGAUUGUACAGGAGAGAAUAAUAUUUUAUUACCAAGGGUAUUUAUAGAUUACUUUUCAACAAAGAAAGUUCAAGAGGUUUACAUGGCAAAAAGGAACAACAGCUUCCUGACUUACGAUCUGAAAAGAAACACGAGGGAAGCAGCAGCAACCAACACUGGGACCGGUAGAAACACUAUGCUGGACUGAAAGUCAGUUGUCCCCUGCCACCCAGAUAUAUGUAAGAGAGCCACCACAUUUAGAAUGUGCAUCUUUGCUCAAUUAGCAAAAGGCACACCUCAGUGGAGUUUAUUGUGUUUCUCCAAUGGGAUUCCAUCCAGGAAACAAUUAAGUCUUCAACAGUACUAGAACACCAGAUGCUCCCAGACUAUCAGAGGGCCUGUAGAUGAAAAGGUGGCACAGUAUCCUAAAGCUGGAUCCCAAAAUUUUGUGAGCUGAUCUGAGCAGUAGUGUGCUGAAGAGGCAAGGUAUAAACAUUUUAAAUAAAAUAAAUACUCUGGUCUCUUCAAGGGCUGGGCCCUGAAGCAUUAAGAAAGCAUUGGACUGGAUGCCUCUUGCUACUUCACCUUUGUGACAAGAGGUAUGGUCAACACACAGUAACAUGGAAGGGAUGAAUAUAAUACAAGUAUGAGAUGAUACAAUGCAAGACGACAUAUUUGGCAUCUAUCAAACAGAUUCCAGAACUGGCGGCACGAAAACAGGAAUCAACAAGAUUAAAGAAAGUCAAAAGCAGAGCAAAGGAUCAAAGUUGGGCCCAUUUAAAUGAAUAGGUAU